rnacentral:lncRNA from 1 species
GCAGGAAUGGAUUCUUUCAUUGGCCUUAUGAGUGAACUAGUUGACCCAGCUUUCAACAUACCUGAAGAUUUCUUUAAGGCUAAAAGAUUGGUUUCUGAAUUAGGGCUCUCGUCUAUGAGAAUUGAUUGUUAGCAAGCCUUUAGGACCGUUUAAAAUACAAUUGUUGAGUGCAUGUACCUUUUAGGAACAUCAAUGGUGAUGUUAGAUAGAGUUCCAACUAGCUAGAUAUUGCAUUAGCGUAUACUAUAUUUCCGUUCUUUCUCAUUGCUCUUAACCUAAAAGUUUAUAUAAUUUUCUUGGACUUUACUUUA